CCCUAUUCAAAGGUGCCGUUACAAGUUCUUCAUCAACUAAAAGCUCAGCUAAUAUUUAUUCUUCUUGCUGAAAAGCUUUCUCUUCAUAUAAAUCUGAAUUUUUAUCCAUCUCUAAUCGGAUUGGUAUGUCAUAUACGCCUUUAGGUAUUAUUUUUUAUACAACAUACCAAUUACCUCAAUACUUUAGAUCCUUCAAAUAUAUUACUUAUUUCGCUUGAGUUGCU
rnacentral:lncRNA from 1 species